UGGGGAAUAUUGCACAAUGGGCGAAAGCCUGAUGCAGCGACGCCGCGUGGGGGAUGAAGGCCUUAGGGUCGUAAACCCCUUUCAGCAGGGACGAAAAUGACGGUACCUGCAGAAGAAGCCCCGGCCAACUACGUGCCAGCAGCCGCGGUAAGACGUAGGGGGCGAGCGUUGUCCGGAUUUAUUGGGCGUAAAGAGCUCGUAGGCGGUUGCGUAAGUCGGAUGUGAAAACUCAGGGCUCAACCCUGAGACGCCAUCCGAUACUGCGCUGACUUGAAUCCAGUAGGGGAGUGUGGAAUUCCUGGUGUAGCGGUGAAAUGCGCAGAUAUCAGGAGGAACACCCAUGGCGAAGGCAGCACUCUGGGCUGGUAUUGACGCUGAGGAGCGAAAGCAUGGGUAGCGAACAGGAUUAGAUACCCUCGUAGUCCCUGAGCGGGCUGGCAAGGCGCAU
rnacentral:rRNA from 1 species